AGCGGAGUAGAGCAGCCUGGAGUGCUCGUCGGGCCCAUAACCCGGAGGCCGGUGGUUCAAAUCCACCCUCCGCUA
rnacentral:tRNA from 1 species